GAUGGUAAGGUAGUGGCUUACCAUGGUUGCAACGGGUGACGGAGAAUUAGGGUUCGAUUCCGGAGAGGGAGCCUGAGAAACGGCUACCACAUCUAAGGAAGGCAGCAGGCACGAAAAUUACCCAAUCCCGAUUCGGGGAGGUAGUGACAAGAAAUAACGGUACGGGGCCUUUAUAGGUCUCGCAAUCGGAAUGAGAACAAUUUAAAUCCUUUAACGAGGAUCAAUUGGAGGGCAAGUCUGGUGCCAGCAGCCGCGGUAAUUCCAGCUCCAAUAGCGUAUAUUAAAGUUGUUGCAGUUAAAAAGCUCGUAGUUGGAUUUCGGAGCGGGCCCGUUGGUCCACCGCAAGGUGAGCUACUGGCGGGUCUGUUCUUCUUCGCAAAGACUGCAGGUGCACUUCGCUGUGUGCUUGUCGGAUUUGUGACGUUUACUUUGAAAAAAUUAGAGUGUUCAAAGCAGGCUUUCGCUUGAAUACAUGAGCAUGGAAUAAUGGAAUAGGACUUUGGUUCUAUUUUGUUGGUUUCUAGGACCGAAGUAAUGAUUAAGAGGGACAAACGGGGGCAUCUGUAUUUCGUUGUCAGAGGUGAAAUUCUUGGAUUUGCGAAAGACAAACAACUGCGAAAGCACUUGCCAAGAGUGUUUUCAUUAAUCAAGAACGAAAGUUAGAGGAUCGAAGACGAUCAGAUACCGUCCUAGUUCUAACCAUAAACGAUGUCGACUAGGGAUCGGCGGGCGUUAUUUUAUGACCCCGUCGGCACCUUACGGGAAACCAAAGUUUUUGGAUUCCGGGGGUAGUAUGGUUGCAAAGCUGAAACUUGUGGUUGCAAAGCUGAAAUUCAAGUGGAUGAAGCUGGGAAGGUAAUCUGUAGUUGGUUGAGUUGGUUGCAGAUUACUGCUGUCGAUUUUGCUUUCUAUUGAAAGCCUGUCUCUACGGGUCCUGAAGCUUGAAUUUUGGUAGCUAUAGUUUUGUGGGAGGAAAGUGGAAUUUUGUACCAUCUUUUGUCUCUCGUAUCUACUAUAGUAAAUCCGGUCAUGCAGCCUCUACGCGGCGCAACUAGAAACUUGGAUCAGUGAUCAAGGCUAAUGCAUGCCGGGUCUCCUCAGAUUAGGAGUAUAAUACAAAUCUGACUUCAUCACUAAGAGGCUAUGGGGCUAACGAUCCUAUAGUCUCGAUGAACCUAUUGAUUGUUACUAG
rnacentral:rRNA from 1 species